UCUUCGCUAGUAUAUCGGUUAGUAUAACCGCCUCUCAAUGAGAGACUCCAUCGCGGUAGAGCAGGGUUCGACUCCCUGGCGGAGAA